UACGUAGGGGGCAAGCGUUGUCCGGAUUUAUUGGGCGUAAAGCGCGUGUAGGCGGCCAGAUAGGUCUGCUGUGAAAACUCGAGGCUCAACCUCGAGCUGUCGGCGGAAACCAUCUGGCUAGAGUCCGGAAGAGGAGAGUGGGAUUCCUGGUGUAGCGGUGAAAUGCGCAGAUAUCAGGAAGAACACCUAUGGCGAAGGCAGCUCUCUGGGACGGUACUGACGCUGAGACGCGAAAGCGUGGGGAGCGAACAGG
rnacentral:rRNA from 1 species